rnacentral:rRNA from 1 species
AUACGAAGGGUGCAAGCGUUAAUCGGAAUUACUGGGCGUAAAGCGCGCGUAGGUGGUUUUGUAAGUUGGAGGUGAAAGCCCCGGGCUCAACCUGGGAAUUGCCUCCAAGACUGCAUGACUAGAGUACGGUAGAGGGUAGUGGAAUUUCCUGUGUAGCGGUGAAAUGCGUAGAUAUAGGAAGGAACACCAGUGGCGAAGGCGAUUACCGUGAGUGAUACAGGCACUGAGGUGCGAACGCGUGGGGAGUAAACAGGCGUUGGUCCCCUGGGAAUCCAAGCCGGAAACGAUGUCAACUAGCCGGUGGGAGCCUUGAGCUCUUAGUGUCGCAGCUAUCGCAUAAAAUGGACCGCCUGUGGAGUACGGCCGCAAGGGUAAAACUCAAAAGAAUGUACGGGG